rnacentral:rRNA from 1 species
AGAGUUCGAUCAUGGCUCAGAACGAACGCUGGCGGCAGGCCUAACACAUGCAAGUCGAGCGCGCCUUCGGGCGAGCGGCGGACGGGUUAGUAACGCGUGGGAACGUGCCCAGAUCUACGGAAUAGCCACUGGAAACGGUGAGUAAUACCGUAUACGCCCUUUGGGGGAAAGAUUUAUCGGAUUUGGAUCGGCCCGCGUUAGAUUAGGUAGUUGGUGGGGUAACGGCCUACCAAGCCUACGAUCUAUAGCUGGUUUUAGAGGAUGAUCAGCAACACUGGGACUGAGACACGGCCCAGACUCCUACGGGAGGCAGCAGUGGGGAAUCUUGGACAAUGGGGGCAACCCUGAUCCAGCCAUGCCGCGUGAGUGAAGAAGGCCCUAGGGUCGUAAAACUCUUUCGCCUGUGAUGAUAAUGACAGUAGCAGGUAAAGAAACCCCGGCUAACUCCGUGCCAGCAGCCGCGGUAAUUC